AAAAGAAUCAGAACCAGACUCAGAUAUGCACAGAUUUUGGAAUUAUCAAUAGGAAAUUUAAAAUAACUGUGAUUAACGUGGUAAAGGCUCUAAUGGGAAAAAAAACAGGCAACAUGCAAAAUAGAUGCGUAAUAUAAGCAGAGGGAUAGUGACACCAAGAAACGAUCAAAAGGAAAUGCUGUCAAUAAAAAGCACUACAACAGAAAUGAAGAAUGCCUUUGAUGAGCUCACCAACAGACUGGACACAGCUGAGGGAAGAAUCAGUGAGCUGGAAGAUAUGUCCAUAGGAACUUCCCAAACUGAAAUCCAAAAAGAAUUUUUAAAACACAAAAGAAUUUUCAAGAACUGUGGGACAAUUUCAAAUGGUAUGACCAAUGCAUAACUGAAAUGCCAGGUGAAGGAGAGAGAAUGGAACAGAAGAAAUAUUGAAGUAAUAAUGGCCAAGCAUUUUGCAAAAUUAAUGAUAGAUACUAAACCACAGAUUCAGUAAGUUCAGAGAACACCAAACAGGACAAAUAUAAAAAAAAACAAAUCUACACUAGGUAUAUCAUAUUCAAGCUGCAGAAAACCAAAGACAAAGACAAAAUCUUGAAAGAAGCCAGAGGAGUUGGGGGAGAAUCUUUCCUAUAAAUGAACAGUAUAAGAAUUACCACAGAACUUUCAUCAGAACCCAUGCAAUCAAGAAGAGUGGAAGAAGAUAUUCCGAGUGUUGAAAGGAAAACACCACCAACCUAGAAUUCUGGAUCCAGGGAAGUCAUCCUUCAAAACUUAAGGAGAAAUAAAGACUUUCUAAGACAAACAAAAUUCAUCACCAGCAUAUCUGCCCUACAAGAAAUGUUUUUUUUAAAAAAAGUCCUUCAGAGAGAAGGAAAAUGAUAUAGAUCAGAAACUUGGAUCUAGAUAAAGAAAGAGCACCAAAGAAGGAAUAAAUGAAGGUACCCUGACCUUUAUGGAGAGUUUGAAAUUAUCCUAUAUCAUUAAGAACCAGCAGGACUUUAAUGAAGCUUCAUGGCUUAGUGGCUAACAUUCAAACUUCAGAGCCAGCCAGAUUUGGUAUAAAGACAUGAAUCCCACUCUUAUCACUGGUGUGACUUUGAG
rnacentral:lncRNA from 10 species